rnacentral:rRNA from 1 species
UACGGAGGGAGCUAGCGUUGUUCGGAAUUACUGGGCGUAAAGCGCGCGUAGGCGGCUUUGUAAGUUAGAGGUGAAAUCCCUCGGCUCAACCGGGGAACUGCGUCUGAUACUGGAUGGCUUGAAUUCGGGAGAGGGAUGCGGAAUUCCAGGUGUAGCGGUGAAAUGCGUAGAUAUUCGGAGGAACACCAGUGGCGAAGGCGGCUCACUGGCUCGAUACUGACGCUGAGGUGCGAAAGCGUGGGGAGCAAACAGG